AGAAGGAUCAGAAUCAAGAGAUGAUUAGCAGUGCCUCCACCUAAGAAACAUACAAGAAGAAAGUCAUCCAAGAAAAGCUUGAUGAUCCCGGUUCAUUCACUCUGCUAUGCUCUCUAGGACCAUUGACAUUCAAUAGGUGCAUUUGUGAUUUGGGAGCAUUUGUUAGCCUUAUGCCUCUCUCUACAGCUAAAAGGCUAGGGAUCACGGAUUACAAGUUCUGCAACUUAGCUUUACUCUUAGCUGAUGGUUCUGUUGCACAUCCACAUGACCUAAUAGAGAAUCUGCCUGUCAAGAUUGGAAAUGUUGAGAUACCUACAGAUUUUGUGGUAUUGGACGUAGAUGAAGAAGGCAAGGAUCCCCUAAUCCUAGGCAGACCAUUCUUAGCUUCAGCUGGAGCAGUCAUAGAUGUCAGGAAUGGAAAAAUUAAUCUGAACCUUGUAAAAGGCAUUAAGAUGAAGUUUGACAUCAGAGAAGCUUCAGGGAAAUCAACAACAGGAGUUCAAAAUUUUGGGAUUCAGAGCAUGGAUGUUGAUGAAGAAAAAGAAGUUGAAACCUCACCAAAAGUCAACUAUACUUCUCAACUUAGCAAGCUGAAGAGGACUUUUGACCACAAGAAGAAAGCAACAGAAAGGCUAGCUCAGACUGAAGAUCCUACAGAAGAUUACUGGUAUGAGAUGAGAAAAAUAAAUAAAUGGCAAUGCAGAGUCAUAGAGGGAUUAUCUUCAAGGGUGAUGAAGCUGAAAGAUCAACUGUGGAUGUUUGAAAAAAGAGUU
rnacentral:sRNA from 1 species